ACUACGGAGGAUCCAAGCCGUUAUCCGGAAUUCGAUUCGGGUUUAAAAGGGUCCGCAGGCGGGCCUGUUAAGUCAGAGGUGAAAUCCUACAGCUCAACUGUAGAACUGCCUUUGAUACUGAUAGGCUUGAGUUAUUGUGAAGUGGUUAGAAUGUGUGGUGUAGCGGCGAAAUGCUUAGAUAUCACACAGAACACCCAUUGCGAAGGCAGAUCACUAACAAUAUACUGACGCUCAUGGACGAAAGCGUGGGGAGCGAACGGGAUUAGGUACCCUGGUAGUCCACACCGUAAACGAUGAAUGCCAGACGUCAGCAAGCAUGCUUGUUGGUGUCACACCUAACGGAUUAAGCAUUCCGCCUGGGGAGUACGGUCGCAAGAUUAAAAACUCAAAAGGAAUUGACGGGGGCCCGCACAAGCGGUGGAGCAUGUGGUUUAAUUCGAAGCAACGCGCAGAACCUUACCAACCCUUGACAUCGUCGGACCGCCAGAGAGAUCUGGUUUUC
rnacentral:rRNA from 1 species